rnacentral:rRNA from 1 species
UCCGUAGGCGGUGCGGCGAGUCGGAAGUGAAAUCUCAGGGCUUAACCCUGAGGCUGCUUCCGAAACUGCCGUGCUCGAGUGCGAGAGAGGCGAGUGGAAUUGCAGGUGUAGCGGUGAAAUGCGUAGAUAUCUGCAGGAACAUCCGAGGCGAAAGCGGCUCGCUGGAUCGCAACUGACGCUGAGGGACGAAAGCUAGGGGAGCAAACAGGAUUAGAUACCCUGGUAGUCCUAGCCCUAAACGAUCAGGACUGGGCGUGGGCCUCGUACGGGGCUCGUGCCGCAGCUAACGCGUUAAGUCCUGCGCCUGGGGAGUACGGUCGCAAGGCUGAA